rnacentral:rRNA from 1 species
CUUGCGGCCAUAUCACAUUGAAACACCAGUUCCUGUAUAAUCACCAAAGUUAAGCAACAUUGAGUCUGACCAGUACCUAUAUGGGUGACCACUUGGGAAUAUCAGGUGCUGUAA